UACGUAGGAGGCGAGCGUUGUCCGGAGUUACUGGGCGUAAAGGGUGCGCAGGCGGCCCGACAGGUGUGUGGUGAAAUCUCCCGGCUUACCUGGGAGGGGGCCACGCAAACCGUUGGGCUUGAGGCUCGGGGAGGGGCGUGGAAUUCCGGGUGGAGCGGUGAAAUGCGUAGAGAUCCGAUAGAAGACCGGUGGCGAAGGCGGCCUGCUGGGCAGUAACUGACACUGAGGCGCGACAGCGUGGGGAGCAAACAGG
rnacentral:rRNA from 1 species